CUCAGAACGAACGCUGGCGGCGUGCUUACACAUGCAAGUCGAACGGGAAACGUUCCUUCGGGAACCGAGUACAGUGGCGCACGGGUGAGUAACACGUAGGUGACCUACCUAUCGCUGGGGAACAACCCGGGAAACCGGAGCUAAUUCCGCAUACGCUUUCCAACUCGCGGGUUGGAAAGGAAAGAUGGCCUCUUCAUGAAAGCUAUCGGCGAAUGAUGGGCCUGCGCGUCAUUAGCUUGUUGGUGAGGUAACGGCUCACCAAGGCUGCGAUGACUAGCUGGUCUGAGAGGAUGAUCAGCCACACUGGCACUGGAACACGGGCCAGACUCCUACGGGAGGCAGCAGUGGGGAAUAUUGCGCAAUGGGCGAAAGCCUGACGCAGCAACGCCGCGUGAGUGACGAAGGCCUUCGGGUCGUAAAGCUCUGUCGAGAGGGACGAAACACCGGUGGGAACAAUACCUCGCCGGUUUGACGGUACCUCCAAAGGAAGCACCGGCUAACUCCGUGCCAGCAGCCGCGGUAAUACGGAGGGUGCGAGCGUUGUUCGGAUUCACUGGGUAUAAAGGGUGCGUAGGCGGCCUCGUAAGUCAGGGGUGAAAUAUGACGGCUCAACCGUCAAACUGCCCCUGAAACUGCAAGGCUUGAGUCCGGGAGAGGAAGGUGGAAUUCCUGGUGUAGCGGUGAAAUGCGUAAAUAUCAGGAGGAACACCGGUGGCGAAGGCGGCCUUCUGGUCCGGUACUGACGCUGAGGCACGAAAGCUAGGGGAGCGAACAGGAUUAGAUACCCUGGUAGUCCUAGCCGUAAACGAUGGGCACUAGGUGUCGGAGGAGUCUACCCCUUCGGUGCCGCAGCUAAUGCAUUAAGUGCCCCACCUGGGGAGUACGAUCGCAAGGUUGAAACUCAAAGGAAUUGACGGGGGCCCGCACAAGCGGUGGAGCAUGUGGUUUAAUUCGAUGCAACGCGAAGAACCUUACCUGGGCUUGACAUGCAGGGGACAGGUGCAGAAAUGUACCCUUCUUCGGACCCCUGUGCAGGUGCUGCAUGGCUGUCGUCAGCUCGUGUCGUGAAAUGUUGGGUUAAGUCCCGCAACGAGCGCAACCCCUGUCUUCAGUUGCCAUCAGUUCGGCUGGGGACUCUGGAGAGACUGCCGGUGACAAACCGGAGGAAGGUGGGGACGACGUCAAGUCAUCAUGGCCCUUACGCCCAGGGCUACACACGUGCUACAAUGGUCGGUACAAUGGGCAGCAAUACCGUGAGGUGGAGCGAAUCCCAAAAAGCCGGCCUCAGUUCGGAUUGGAGUCUGCAACUCGACUCCAUGAAGUCGGAAUCGCUAGUAAUCGCGUAUCAGCAUGACGCGGUGAUACGUUCCCGGGCNUUGUACACACCGCCCGUCAAGUCAACCGAGUUGGCUGCACCCCAAGUCGCUGAGCUAACCCGUAAGGGAGG
rnacentral:rRNA from 1 species